rnacentral:rRNA from 1 species
CCUACGGGGGCAGCAGUGAGGAAUAUUUGUCAAUGGACGAGAGUCUGAACCAGCCAAGUAGCGUGAAGGAUGACUGCCCUAUGGGUUGUAAACUUCUUUUAUAUGGGAAUAAAACUGGUUAUGCAUACCCUCUCGUAUGUACCAUAUGAAUAAGGAUCGGCUAACUCCGUGCCAGCAGCCGCGGUAAUACGGAGGAUGCGAGCGUUAUCCGGAUUUAUUGGGUUUAAAGGGUGCGUAGGCUGGGUGUUAAGUCAGUUGUGAAAUGUCGGCGCUUAACGGGUAAAAGUGCAGUUGAAACUGGCAGGCUGGAGUGCGGUAGAGGUGGGAGGAAUUCGUGGUGUAGCGGUGAAAUGCUUAGAUAUCACAAAGAACUCCGAUUGCGAAGGCAGCUCACUGGACUGCGACUGACACUGAUGCACGAAAGUGUGGGUAUCAAACAGGAUUAGAUACCCCAGUAGUC